rnacentral:lncRNA from 1 species
UGGUUUCUCCGAUGAGAACUUUACCUUCUUUCCUCUCCUUCUUUUAUUACAAAUAAGAAACACAAGAAAAGGACAAAAUAGGAAAAAAAAAAAAGGGAAACAAUUGGAAGGAAAGGAGAACGAAUCGGCUAGCACAACCCAACCAGUGAAUUAGAAAAAUAGAGAAUUGGGGUAGCCUCUCAAAUAAUAAAAUCAAAAGAAAGACCAA